rnacentral:miRNA from 12 species
CUUUCCAGGGUGCCCAGUGGCAGGACAAGAAGCUCUGGGCACAAACUGAAAUACAGAAGGUUUCCUCUGAACACCAGGAA